rnacentral:rRNA from 1 species
UACGUAGGGGGCAAGCGUUGUCCGGAUUUAUUGGGCGUAAAGAGCGUGUAGGCGGCUAGAUAGGUCCGUUGUGAAACCUGGAGGCUCAACCUCCAGCUGUCGAUGGAAACCAUCUGGCUAGAGUCCGGAAGAGGAGAGUGGAAUUCCUGGUGUAGCGGUGAAAUGCGCAGAUAUCAGGAAGAACACCCGUGGCGAAGGCGGCUCUCUGGGACGUGACUGACGCUGAGACGCGAAAGCGUGGGGAGCGAACAGG